AAAAUCGCGAACCGUUACUGCCUGGACUGGUCUCUUUGUUUGUUUGCUCAUCAACAGUAAGAGGUCAUGUAUACUGUGGUCAACUUUGUGGACGAUGAAGAGGUUUCUGGGUAAAGAUGAUAGAAAUAUAAUGAAGUAACAGUGAAAGCUAAAACAUCAGACUGAUCCAGACACUGAAGAAAUUGAUGUCACUGCAAUCUGGCCAAAAUGAUACAACUAUAUUGAAGUAACCUACUGUAAUGAAGCUGCAGAACAACACCGAGACUCUGAGGACAUCAACACAAACAAUUAAGGCUCCAAAGAGAUGUCUGUCCAGAUGAGGGUGCAUCAACGUUACCUUUGCUGACAAGUAUAUGCUUUACAAUGUAAAACCUAACAGUUAACUUAACUCAAACCAUUUAAGGAAAUCGGUUGCCUUAACCCAUUAAGUUUUAAAAAAACAUACAUUUGAGUACUGUGAACUUAAGUCUUGUGCAAUAAUGCACAGUGUCACAGUACUCAAAUCUAUGUGUUUUAAAACUUAAAUGGUUUAAUGCAACCGGUUUUCUUAAAUGGUUUGAGUUUAGUUAACUUUUAGGUUUUACAGUGAGAAAUUCUUGAAUAAUUCCAAGACAGAGCUCUGCAAUUGUAUCUACACUGCAAAAAAUCAGUUUCUAACUUAGGAUUUUUAUCUUGUUUUUAGUAGAAAAACUAAAAAUUCUUAAAUCAAGAUGUAUUUUCUUGAUGAGCAAAAUUACCUAAGAAAAUGUCUAGUUUUUAGACAAAAAAUAUACAAUUUAAGUAAAUUUGUGCCUAAACAAGCAAAAAUAUCUAACAAUGGGGUGAGAAAAUUGUGCUUGAAUUAAGUGUUUAAGAAAAAAGAAAACUUAAGAUUUUUUCUCACACCAUUGGCAGAUAUUUUUGCUUGUUUUAAGCACAAAUUCACUUAAAUUGUGUGCAUUUAUUUAUUUUGUCUAAAACUAGACUUAUUUUCUUAGGUCAUUUUGUUCAUCAAGAAAAAGCAUUUUAUUUAAAUAAUAUUGCUACUGAAAACGAGACAAAAAUACUAUGCAAGAAAGUCAUUUUUUUGCAGUGUAGGACUGAUUUCUUAAAGCAAGAUCAAUAUAGUUGUUGUUCAUUUUAUUUAGAUAUUUACUACAUUACAGUGGCAGCUGGUGACUUCUCGAUGCAAAGUCUGUCACAACAUGUAUAUAGCCAGUCAUUUGUGUGGUUCCCAAUUUCAAAAUAUGUGUUCUGCGUGUAUGUGCAUCACGUGUUUUGACUAAACACGUGAUGCACAUGGUUUACAUGAAGCAACAAACACAUUUUAAAAACACAAGCAACACACAUGACACUCCGAACACUUAUUUUGAAUUUGCACCCCUCGGAUGAGCAGUCACGAGCCGCCACUGCUACAUUACAUUGUACUGCUUUGAAUGUAAUUUUCAUUGUUGCUUUUAUUUUGUUUUAUUUUACUCUAAUAUUGCUUUCUCUGUCUGUAUAUUUAUGAGUUUAAAUAGUAUUGUUUAUGUAUGCAACUUUAAAUAUUUGUGUAUAAUAUUAUUUUGUUAUUGUGACAAUUGUGAAUUGUUCAGUUUUUUAUUAAAUAAACAUUUCAAACUCAA